AGUCGAACGAUGACGUCACUGCUUGCAGUGACUGAUUAGUGGCGAACGGGUGAGUAACACGUGAGGAACUUGCCCAUGAGCGGGGGACAACAUUCGGAAACGGAUGCUAAUACCCCAUAGGUGGAUUGGUCGCAUGACUAAUUCAUUAAAGGUGGCUCUGCUACCACUCAUGGAUAGCCUCGCGGCGUAUUAGCUAGUUGGUAAGGUAAUGGCUUACCAAGGCAGUGAUACGUAGCCGACUUGAGAGGGUGAUCGGCCACACUGGGACUGAGACACGGCCCAGACUCCUACGGGAG
rnacentral:rRNA from 1 species